rnacentral:rRNA from 1 species
GACAAACGCUGGCGGCGUGCAUAAAACAUGCAAGUCGAACGGCCCUCGAUGGGGGCAGUGGCAGACGGCUGAGGAACGCGUGGGCAACCGAUCCCUGGGUGGGGAAUAGCAGGCCGAAAGGGCUGGUAAUACCGCAUACGGUCUUCUGCCGGUGGGUAGGAGAAGAAAGCCGGGGGUGACCCUGGCGCCGAGGGGCGGGCCUGCGUCGGAUUAGCUAGUUGGUGGGGUAGCGGCCUACCAAGGCGAUGAUCCGUCGCUGAUCUGAGAGGAUGAUCAG